AUUUCCCCCGUGAUUUACAGAAAACGCCAUUUCGGACAGUAACGCUUCGCUAACGCACCAAAUGGAAGGGGCAGAAAACGGCGCAAACUUCUUGGUCAAAUUGACUCUCUGAGGUCGCUAUUCUCCGCGAACUCGAAUUUGGAUCCUCUUUUUGUCACAAAUCUCCUUCUCUUCCCUCUCCAAUCUGUCAUUUUUUCAACUUUUUCACGUCGAUUUUGAUCUACGCUCCAGCAGUCGCAGUUAAGAACACAAGCCAAGGCAAACGGCCACUGCUCCGACGCUUUCGCAACCUUACGCCAUGCUCCGGCGAGUAGGGGACACUCGCCUUAUUCAGUGCAGAGUUGCUUGAAUUGAGUUGUUCGGCCAUUGAAACCAUUCCAUUUCAUGGCAGGCAAUGGCCUGCCAUCAUUGGGUCGUGUGAAGCUUACUGAUAUAGCACCAUCUGAAGGCGUUCCUUCUGAGUCAUUCAAACUGUCGGUCUCAACACUCUCACAGUCACUAGCUCAAUAUUCUGCUGCCAUAAUUCAAUUCCCUGCAUGUGAUGGGGCUCUUUUAAGGUCUGGUUUGGAUUCUGCUCGCCUCUACUUCCACCAAAGAGCUGCUUGUCCAUCUGCUGAAUUGAUGCAAAACAAUGAUUCACGGGAGUGGUGCAGAACUUCUGGUUACUAUGUAGAUUCUCAGAUGUGGCAAGAAAUGUAUGAUUAUAGGCCUGGACUUACUCCAGUUGAGCCCAGCAAUUCAAUAGAGUUACCACCAGCUGGUUUGCCAGACAUAUUUGCACUCUAUGGAAAGGCAUCUCGAAUUAUUUUGGAUGCAAUCAGCUUCUAUCUAAACUUGCGCAGCUCUCCUUUCACCGAGAUACUCGAUAAUGUUCCCCUAAGAAGUAGGGAGAUAUCAUCUUCUGUAUUGUCUGUGUGCUGUCAUGGGAGGCCCUCAUUUCAUGGAGAGCAUCACCAUAAAUUAACUGCUCAAGAGGAUAGCCAGUUGUCUAUGUAUCCCGCUGACCACGAGCAUCAAAUUGAUAAGAGCCUUAUUACUCUGGUCAAGUCGGAUAAGGCAGGUUUACUAAUAAAAGAUUUCAAUGGUAGAUGGAUUCUUGUGGAUGGAGAUCUUGGUCCUCAAGAUGCCAUAGUGUACCCUGGACUUGCACUUUAUCAAGCAACGGCAGGGUAUGUGAAUCCUGCUUUGCUCAGAACAGACGUAAAUAAUAUUCAAGGUAGUAUGUACGGACGGUGUUCUUCGUCAUUCAAACUUAUGCCUAAGUCAAUGACUAGCCUCAGUUGUUCUGAAAUGAGGGCAGCUGGCCAUGGGGUUGAUGUUCAGUUCCAGCUUCCAGUACCAGUGGAUGACUUCAUGCAGAGGUCACCCUCGACCGAUCAACUCUUUAACCGUCCGAAUUUUCAGAAUUUCAGUUUCUCUACGUCCCAAGAUGGAUCCAUAAAAAUGAGGAGGAGAAAGAACAAUUCAACUACUAAACCUCUACCCCCUUCUAAGAGAUUACGGCUUGAGGCACAAAGGGUUCUGAAGGAGAGAGUACAGGACAUUGCGGAUAAGAAGGGUAUCAAAUUGAGGUUCUGCAACCUGAAGGAAUGUGAGAGUCACAUUCACACGUUAGAUAGCCCAUGUGCUAGUACAAGAAUCGAGAUUGGAUGGCCUCCUGGAGUGCCGUUCGUUCAUCCUCACGAUCUACCUAAUAAGGCAAAAAUUGGUUUUCUUGAAGCUUACGAGCCCGGUUGGACAGCUAGUCAUGACAUCGAAUUAAGUCUUACUGAACCUGGACAAGUGGGUCAACAAUCAACCAACUAAUCGUGUUCAAACUUUAUUUGUUAAUUUUCGUCCAUCGACUGAAACUGCUCAGCGUUUUGAAUUGGCUGCCAAAAUUUGUCCAAGAAAAUUUUAUGAAGCAUUCAGGAAGAUCAAUUUUAGUGGUCAACAGAAGAGAUAUUAAAGCUAUAUAAUGCUGCAUUGCUGUGCCUUAGGCAUGCAUUCACGAGUAUAGAAAAUUUGAUAUAUGAUUCGAAGUCGUGUCCAUGUUUGAUGGCAGUGGGAAUCAUUGACAGAGAUUACUUUGGUACUCAAGUGAUUGGGGGCCAAGAGCAUAUAAUUCCUUGAAGCUUGAAGAUCAUUGUGCUGGAUCUUUUGAACUCCAUGCAUGAACCAGUCCAUGUUCUGUACAGCUUGCGAUUGAUUCUCGAGGCCUCGUAGCUUGCAACUCCAAACCAGUUCCAUUCAUGACUAUUGAUCAGCUCAUCAUACCUGUGCCCUGAUUAUCGUUUCCAUGCCCAACUUCUACAUAGCAUGCCCAUUUCCAUCUCCAGCAAAGACUCUACAUAUGUGUUCUUUUGUGGGUAAGCUGGUUUCAUCUUCUUAUAUUUGUUGGAGCCUGGAGGAUAGAUCUUGAAGAGAAAGGGGUUUGUUAAGUUAAGCUAACCGGUCAUGAUAAUGGAGUGGAAAAAACUAUUUCAUUUGGAGAUAUAGUUGAGAAUUUUCUGAUGAAAGUCACUCAUACCUUCAUGUUCCUAGACUAGUGUAGCUGCUGCUUUAGUCAAUAUGAUCUGUAAAAUUUGGGAAAUAUGAUAAAAAGCAGAAAUAUACAAACUUGAGGUUGCUGAAGAAAUAUUCCCUGUUCUUGUUAUAUUCUUGAUAUUUCCCCAUUUUUACUGGUGGAUUGUGCAGAUAUCGAACUCAAGCUCGCCAUGAUAAAUCUCUUUCGUUUUUCAUCUUUUAUGAUAUUUUUGCCAUUUGAGA